rnacentral:lncRNA from 1 species
GGCAAACGACGGUCCUGUCCUGUUUGGUUCAACAUACAGUAGAUAAAAAACAGAGCAACUACAUAAUUACACCGGUAUCUCAUCUGUACAAACCUGUCCCAUGACGCCUCUGGCACAGACCUGCGCAAGCAGAGAGUGCAAAUCACUCUUCUGAGCCCUCACAUGAGCUCAACACUGCCAUUACUACUGGACGCUGGAGGGCAAUAAUGGAGGUCUUAAACUCCAUUGAUGAGCAGCCUGAAUAUGAUUUCUCUUCAGUUCUGUGAAGUAACGGAUUAACCCAUUCACUCGAGUGCUUCACUGAAGAACACAGAGCUGUAGAAACAUUGAGCUCCUUUGUCUGCUGUGAGUUAAUGGACCUCACCUAAACCCGGAUCCGAUCCCCAAAGGAAAAACCUGUUCCUGCUGACUCCCCUUUGGGACCACCUUCCUUUGCUUGCUGGGUCCCAAAAAAAGAAAAGCUCAUCAUCCCUGAGUAAUGCAGCAUGUGUACAAAGUUGCUAUUGGGGAUGCCUGUGCCUGCAUUGCCCUCAAAAGUAUGACCCAUGCCAGCAAAGUCUCUAGAGAGAUCUGCUGCACCUGUGCCAGAGGUAAUGGGCUUCUCAAAUGAAGCACCCAUGCCUGGAUCCAACCAGAUCCAGAUACAAUUUUAUUGUCCAUUUUCAAUUAGAAAGCCAAGCAACAUCUCUCUGCAAUAUUGAUGCUUUACAACCAUAUAUGCCAACAAAGAACUUAAGAGUGUAUCUGCAGCAGAGUCUAAAGUGAUUAAAAGCUUUUCAGCAUGUCAAAAAGACACAUAUAACCGUAUUGAGCAGUUG